rnacentral:rRNA from 1 species
GAUUUCUGGCUGACCCUGAUGAUCCGGUCCCUUAUGGGGCUGAGUGUUGUUGUGUGGUUUGCCAUCCUUCCAGAGAGUUGUGCCUACCGCUUCCGCGGCUGGGCGCUGCGAUCUGGAUCAUUUACUUUGAAAAAAUUAGAGUGUUUCAGGCAGGCUUACGCUUUGAAUACAUUAGCAUGGAAUAAUAAUAUAGGACUUUGGUUCUAUUUUGUUGGUUUCUAGGACUGAAGUAAUGAUUGAUAGGGAUAGUUGGGGGUGCUAGUAUUCAGCGGCCAGAGGUGAAAUUCUUGGAUUCGCUGAAGACUAACUACUGCGAAAGCAUU